CUCUGCAAGUGCAUUUCAUCCCGGAUUUUGAAAGCUUUCAGAUUUUAAAUGGCACGCUAUGAGUUAAACUGGUAUCUCCUCCAACACGGAGGUCGUUCAGAGCAAGUGGUAAUACAUUGUCUAGUAAAUUGUCAUCGCCUAGGCAACAAGAUCAUCUAAAGCACCUGCAACAAUAUGAACAAAUAGUUCCUUACCUCCUGGAUGGAGAUCACCAGAAACAAUCUAGCAACCUGCAUGGAAAGAGUCACCCGAAAUGGGCUAAGUUCCUAAUUGAAGCUGAAGGCAAACAGUUGGUCAUCGAACUUGAAAGAAAUGAAUGCUAUCUGACCUGUUGAGUUUCUCCAACAUUCUCUGUGAGUUUCAGAUUACAACAUCCACAGUAAUUUUCUUUUGUAUGGGUGUCAUUUUACUAGCUUUCCAAACUGCAGCCACCCUUUC